rnacentral:rRNA from 1 species
UACGUAGGGUGCAAGCGUUGUCCGGAAUUAUUGGGCGUAAAGAGCUCGUAGGCGGUCUGUCACGUCGGCUGUGAAAACCCGAGGCUCAACCUCGGGCCUGCAGUCGAUACGGGCAAACUAGAGUGUUGCAGGGGAGACUGGAAUUCCUGGUGUAGCGGUGAAAUGCGCAGAUAUCAGGAGGAACACCGGUGGCGAAGGCGGGUCUCUGGGAAGUAACUGACGCUGAGAAGCGAAAGCGUGGGUAGCGAACAGG